rnacentral:rRNA from 1 species
AGAAACCAACAGGGAUUACCUCAGUAACGGCGAGUGAAGCGGUAACAGCUCAAAUUUGAAAGCUCGCUCUUUUAGGGUGCGCAUUGUAAUUUGUAGAAGAUGCUUCGGGUGUGGCCCCGGUCUAAGUUCCUUGGAACAGGACGUCAUAGAGGGUGAGAAUCCCGUAUGUGACUGGGUGCUUUCGCUCAAGUGAAGCUCUUUCGACGAGUCGAGUUGUUUGGGAAUGCAGCUCAAAAUGGGUGGUAAAUUUCAUCUAAAGCUAAAUAUUGGCCAGAGACCGAUAGCGCACAAGUAGAGUGAUCGAAAGAUGAAAAGCACUUUGGAAAGAGAGUUAAACAGUACGUGAAAUUGUUGAAAGGGAAGCGCUUGCAACCAGACUUGCGCGCUGGUGAUCAUCCGGGCUUCUGUCCGGUGCACUCGCCAGCGCUCAGGCCAGCAUCGGUUUCGGUGGUGGGAUAAAGGCCUUGGGAAUGUAGCUUCUUUCGGGGAGUGUUAUAGCCCUCGGUGCAAUGCCGCCUACUGGGACCGAGGACCGCGCUUCGGCUAGGAUGCUGGCGUAAUGGUUGUAAGCGACC